AUGCUGUUGAGCUGUUUUCUGAUGCAGAUUGGGCAGGGUGCAGUGAUGAUCGGAGAUCUACUGGUGGUUUUGCUGUCUUUCUUGGUCCUAAUCUUGUGUCCUGGAGUUCGGGGAAACAAGCCACGGUUUCUCGCUCAAGCACAGAGUCUGAAUGUAAAGCACUUGCAAAUGGAACAGCUGAGAUAAUCUGGAUCCAAUCAGUCCUUGGUGAACUUGGGGUUUUCAUGGCAAGACCACCUGUGUUGUGGUGUGAUAACUUGGGAGCUACUUAUCUAUCUGCCAAUCCAGUAUUUCAUGCCAGGACUAAGCACAUAGAAGUAGACUUUCACUUUGCCCGAGAGAGAGUUGCAGCCAAGGCACUAGAUGUUCGGUUCAUCUCUUCUAAAGAGCAAGUUGCUGAUAUAUUCACAAAACCACUGGCUGAGACAAUGUUUGUCUCAAAUAGAUACAAUCUGAACCUUCUUGAGGGAAGUUUAGAUUGAGGGGGGAUGUUAAACAGAAUAUUGUUAUAGAUUAGGAGGUUAUUAAUAUUUGUAGUUAUCUCCUUAUCUCUUGUAACAACCUAUGUAAUCUCGGCUAUGCCGUGCCCUAGAGGCUGCAUAUAUAAACACUCCCCCGGCCGCCCUAUGGGCUGUGCCGAAUCCCAAUCUCUUCCUUCUAUUUCACAAAGAUGACGUUGUAAAAAAUGCAUAAGCUAGGGAUGGCAUGGUGAUGCUGCUGGUCGAGAAGUACCAUCCCAGUGUGUACUUCCUCCAGCCCAUAAUUUCAAUUUUCUCUUGUUGAAUGGCAAAUUUAUGCUUGGCUAGGUUCGGAUUCUGGCGUUUAGUGCAUCCGCACUGAACUGAUUGCUGGAUUUGGUAGGGGGUGAUAUCAUUUCGUUCAUGGGUGAACCUGAACACUGAUGUAGCUUCCCAGAUUCCUCUACGCUGCAGUCGUUCAAAUAUUUUGUGAUGCCUUAGUUCUAUCUUCAGGAAUAAAUUUAACAUCAACACGGUGAUUUGAGAAUGCAAACAAACUCAGCUCCUUGGUUGCAGUUCCCUCCUUACCUGCCAAUGCUUCCUCCUACCUUGCCAGUCGCAUGUGUCCUCACCUUUGUUCAUCAAUUCAUGUGCAGGUAUGGAUUGGUGAUGUUUUUGAUGCCCAUAGAGCCAUUACCUCGUGCAUGUGUAUUUUGUGUUCCAGUUUACCAGUUAGUGAGUGAUAAUGUCCGUAUGAAUGUUUCAUCGUUUAGCAAGUGAUCAGCAACAUGCAUCUCUUACUUUUGGAUUGAAGUGCAGAUCUUGCUAAAGAGUUGACCAUGGAGUCAUUUAUGUAUUCUUAUGCCCCAAUGCUUCAUUAAGUAUUCUUAUUAUGCAAUAUAAAAUUAUUUCUUACCGUCUUCUAUUGUUUCCUCUGUUUUUCUCAGUUAUUCAGAGAACACCACAUGUUACAUGAAUUCUAGACUACUUUCCUAGAGGUAGUUGUUAUUUCUUACCGUCUUCUAUUGUUUCCUCUGUUUUUCUCAGUUAUUCAGAGAACACCACAUGUUACAUGAAUUCUAGACUACUUUCCUAGAGGUGGUUGUUAGAAUCAUCUUCUUGAAUUUGCCUGCUUAGCAUCUAAUAUUUCACACUCGCCAAUUGUAAUAUCUCAUGCUUGCCAAUUUUUAGAAUCAGGUUCUUGAGUUUGCUUGCUUAACCGUGUCCCUGUGCAAUUGCUCACCAACCUCACCAAUUGUGAGUUUAUCCCACAUAGUGGAGUUUCUGUGAGUUUUUAUAGUCUAUAAAUUCUUGGAAGUUCUCUUGUUGCUGCUAUAAUGUGGGUGUGUUCGGCUUCCUUCUUCAUUUAAGGUGAAUCCUUGCUUCCAGGUUGGCCUAUGAAAUGAUGUAUUUUCUGCUGGAAAAUAAGUUGUUAUGCAAUUAUAGUUAGGUUGCCAAUUUUCCUUCAUAAUUGCAUUUAAAGGUGGCUGUUAUGCUCACUUUGCUCAAAGAAAGGUUGUCUAGCCAUGCUACUUUGUGAUUUAAGAAAUAGGCUGACACCAAAUCAGUAAUCCCGGACUUCUGCUUUGUUGGCCGAAAUUUACUAAUUUUGUUUUUCUUGUUAUCUUUAGCCAUUCCAAAACAUUUAUCUGGUUAUGUAGAAUUACAGACCAUAGAAUUAUAGCUGGCCAUAUUUUUGAAUGCGUGAACCUCACAUAGAUAUCAUGCUAAUGUAGUUUGACGGAAGUUGUAAAACCAAUGGAUAGGCAUCGUCUUCUGCUAAGGUUCCUUUCACCCUUCUUUAGAACCCAACAAGCAUUCAUCAAAAAAUUAAAGAUCUUGGUUGGUGAUUCGUUUCAAUGGCCGGUAUAGUAAGGCUGCAUCAAUUAUCAUCUUAUUUUUCAUUUCUUUUUGCCUGCCCUUGUUUCACAACCUAAUACCGAUUGAUCAGGUACAUUGCAAUGAGUGCUUACUUAUGUUUUGUCUCCUAUUAUUUUUUGAUUCCAGUCUUCAUACUUUCAGACACCUUUGAUAAUAUAGGAAGAAGAAAGUAUUCGCUCCAGACGAAGAUGUCUAGCUUGCUUGUGUGCUAUAACAUUAAUUAGUGCAUCAGGCCCAACGUUUUCUAUCAUUGGAACCUUGAUAAUUUAUCUCAUUUGAACAUAAUCUAACCUCUCUGAUUUUUGUCAGUACAUGAUUGUACACCUCCUAUGCCCACUUAAUUGUGUGUUCAUUUUGUUAAUCAAAAAGCAUCUGAUUUUAUGGCUGGGUACGCUGAAAAUAUAUAAAACAUUUCUUCUUUUGGAUAAUUUGUUUCCCUUUGACCAAUCUUUGUUACUUGCCUACACAUCUGUGCAUAGCGUAAUGCUCCAGCAUGACCGCUUCGUGUGCUGCCUCGAGUCGCGCGGCCACUACGCUCGCGCCGAGGCGGAGGCAGCUGCCACUCUCGACGCCCUCCGCUGCACGCUCUCGCCGGCGGCAUUCGCAAAGCCUUGUCACCACGCUGCAAGUGUUGCCCCCUCCUCCCCAAGGGCAUGGUGAAGAAAGGUGCCUGUGUGGUUCUUCUGCAGCUCGCAGCGAGGAUUGUUGUGUCCAACCUGCUCAAUAAUGCCAAGAAGUCCUUGGAGACGAUUAAGGACAUGUACCUGCACUACAACGAGAGAUCUGGGCUGCUUCUUUGUGGCUUCCAAACUUGAAAUUUUUGUUUGGAAGUUAGUUUAGUUUUUUGUUGUGGAUUCACAUCUUCUCACAUGUACCAUCCUCUUAGACCUUUAGAUUUCCAAAAAAACUAAAUGAAGAUAUGGUGGUAUGGUCUCAA